AUUCUCGAUGAGGACCAGAUCCUCCACAUUCUCUCGGGUUUGGGACCCGAGUAUGACCCAGUCAUGGUCACCAUUUCCUCUAGUGCUGAUCGUUGGACGGUUCCUGAUGUUGCUGCUCUUCUACUCAGCUUCGAAA